rnacentral:tRNA from 1 species
GCUGGAAUAGCUCAACUGGUAGAGCACCUCACUUGUAAUGAGGAUGUUGUGGGUUCAAGUCCUGUUUCCAGCUCCA